GGGAAGUGCGUGUAUGUGUGUGUGUGUGUGUGUGUGUGUGUGUGUGUGUGUGUCUAGGCUGACGCCUGCCUCCCUGGCCAGCCUCCAGCUGCAGG
rnacentral:miRNA from 1 species